rnacentral:lncRNA from 1 species
GCCUUGUUAAUUUUCCAGGCCCAUUCUGUAGUCUCUUUGCUGUGUGUUUCUUUUGAUGAGUCAAUUUAUCUAGGUGCAGCUUUUUAUAUUUUAAAUACUGUCAUAACACUUCUAAAGUUUAGAGAACGGUACAUACUGAUGCUGAAAUCUGGCAAUUAUCUUCUAACUCUGUAUUCCAGCAACUAAUUUUAUGGCUCAGGUUAAAUUGCUUAAUUCAAUUGCAAGUAUUUUGCAUUUAUAAUAUGGCUGUAAGUGGCAUGUCUCUGAAUAACAUAAUGUAGCUACCUAUUUGUUUAUGUAGCCUUCACACUUAGAAAUAAAAAUGAGCAUCAAUCAUCAAUUAUGAAUCACUUUACUUAGGAUUCAAAGGUGUCGGGAGUGUGAGUCCCCUUGAUCAUAUUCUAUCUUGCAGUGCCUUUUAGAAAUUAUAAACGUUAACAUAUCAGCUUUCUAAUUUAAAAAUGCUAUGUACUACAAAUGAGUUAUCAGAAUAAACUCUUUCUUCAUUUAGUAAAUAGUGAGGUAUUGAUCUGAGAAUGUCAUGGGAAAUUAGAAAACAGUAACACCGGAAUGUCAUAUAUCUGUGAUUUACGACUUUGCCAAUAUGAAGUAGGAAUUGAUUACUAUUAAGGUCAAUAUCAAGAUUCAUUGACUCAGGUAUACAUAGUGACUACAGCUAAAUUGAGAAUCAAUGUUUAUAUCAUGAAAACAUAUAUCUUCGUAUGGAUAAAAAUAUGCCAAUAUAGCCUGCCAUCCUCUUAGUACCUAUUAUGUGAAUUCAAUCUCUGAAGCAUGAUAAAUAUUUUGCAAUUUAAAAACCAUCCACUGCUGCUUCUAACUAUUGGUUUCUGCAUCAUUAAUGAUAGACUAUUAGAUUAUUUCAAUUAAAAAUUGGUAUUCCUAUCAAAUAUUAAUGAAUCAUAGCUACAGUUCUCUCCAGAAUUAUUGAAGGAUUAAAACUCUCUUCAAUAGCUCUGAGGAUGACAUCAUCAAAAUAAAUAAAUAAAUAAAUCACAACAACAAUGCAAAUUGAUAUAUUCCCCUCUGGUACAGCUUACAAAGUGGGUACAGACACAAAAACUGAAUAACCAAAUAAGGUUAAUAAAUAAAAGUGUCAUCUAUGGAGUGUAUCACUAAACGACAGUAUAUCACUAAAGACAUGUCAGAAAAAUGAGUAUAACUUAAAACUAAUUUUGUAUCUCAAAAACAUGAGUAUAACUUAAAACUAAUUUUGUAUGUAUUUUAUAUCUCAACUGACCUAACAUUUCUCAUGUACAUCAGUUAAAAUUUUGAAUAAUUCUAGCCCUCCUCAAAAUUUUUCCAACUCUUUUUUUUUUUCCAAUUUUGUUGCCACAUUUUUUCCCAUACCAUUGCACUUUAAAUAUAUUUGUCUCUUAUAGCUUGGUCACAGAUGGUGCAGAUAGAGUAUGUGAUGUGGAACUCUGUCUGGACUUGAAUAGCCUAGAUGACAUAUUCACUGGGUGCUUGCUAAUGUGAAGCUUAUAAAUAAGACACUUUAAAUGAAGCAAUGAUGACAUUACAUCUCGCAUCUGAAAACAACAGCCACAGCAAUGCAACACAGAGAGAGAAGGGGAGAUAGGACCACUUAUUCCCUGGUGAGUGUUUGUUAAAUUGUGGUGCUAGAAUCACCAGGUUCAAAGAAGACUGCUUUUGGAGCUGCCAGGAAAGAGUCAGGGUAGAGCCAAGUGGCAAACAUCCAUGGCACUCCUAUCUGUCUUCAACCAUGAAGAUGUUUGUGUGUAUAUGUAUGUGUUGUAAAUAUAUUUAUUUAUGUAUUUAUUGUACUGGGGAUUGAACCCAGGGCCUUCUACUUGCUAGAUAAGUGUUCUAUUAUUAAUAUACAUCUCCAGUGCUAAAAUUUAUUUUUAAUUAACAAAUAAUCAUUAUGUAUAUAUUUAUAGGAUAUAAUGUGAUGUUUUGAUCUAGGUAUACAUUAUGGAAUGAUUUAAUCAAGCUAACUACAGUAUUCAUUACCUAACCAAUGUGUCAUAAUUUUUGUGUUGAGUUCACUAAAAAAAAAUCUAUUUUAGCAAUUUUAAAAUAUACAUUACUAUGAACUAUAGUGAACAUGUAGUGCUCGAUGCAUUAAAACUUUUAAUGCCAGUCUAAAAAUUUUGUCUGUCUAAUCAACAUCUUUCCUAUCUUCAUUCCUUUUCAGCCUCCCUCCCUUCCAGCCUCUGUUUCUAUGCAGUUAUCUUUUCUGGAUUCCAUAUACAAGUGAGAUCAUGCAGUACUUUUCUUUCUUAAUAUUUGGUUUAUUUCACCAAACAUAAUGUUCAUCAGUUCCAUCAGAGAUGUUACAAAGGAGAUAAUACCUCUCUUCUAAAUGCUGUAUGGUAUUCCAUUGUUCAUACCUACCACAUUUCCCUUACCUCAUCUAUUGAUGGACACUUAGGUUGAUGCUGUAUCUUAGCUAUUGUGAAAACUGCUGCAUUGAAUGUAGGAACACAAAUGUCUCUUCAACACACCAAUUUAAAUUCUAUUGAAUAUAUACAUAGGAGUGGGAUUGCUGUGUGAUAUGGUGAUUCUAUUUUAAGGCUUCGAAUAACUUCUGUAUUGCUUUCCAAACAGCUAUGGCUAUCCUAAUCUCCAUUCCCACCAAGAAUAUGCAGGGAAUCUCCUUUCUCCAUGUCUCUCCCAACUCCUGUUAUCAUUCAUCUUUUAACAGUAGCCAUUCCAACAGACAGGAUGUGAUAUCUCACUGUGGUUUCAGUUUGUAUUGUUCUGAUGAUGGUUUAGUGCUUUCUCACAAAUCCACUGGCCAUUUGCUCAGAUUCUUUGCUCAUUUUUCAAGGGGUUCUGUUAACUGUUAGUUAAUAACUGUUAGAUAACUGGUAGUUUUACUAUUAAAUUUAAGUUCCUCAUGUAUUUGGUCAUUAGCCCCUUAUGAUAGAUGUUUGGCAAAUACUUUUUUCUAACUGUGGUUUGUUCGUUCACUCUGUUUUGUUUUUUGGUUUUUGUUUUGCUGUGUGGAAGCUUUUUAUUUGGAUACAUCCUCAUUUGCCUAUUUUUGUUUUGUCCCAUGAACUCUUGGAGUCCUACCCACGAGAAUAUUGCCCAGGCCAAUAUCCUAGAGCUUAAUUCCUCUUUCUUCAAGCAGUUUUAGAAUCUCAGGUCUUAUGCUGAAGUCUUUUGUCCAUUUUGAGUUGAUGAUUGACUAUGAUUUGGGGUAAGGGCACACUUUAAUUCUGCUUCUAUAUAACAAGUUUUCUCAACACCAUUUAUUGGAGAGACUGUCCUUUACCCAUUGUGUGUCCUUGAUUCCUUUCUUGGAAAUGAGUUCACAAUGAAUACUUGGGAUUAUCUCUGAGAUUUCUGUCCUUUGUCAGUGGUUGGUGUGUCUGUUUUUAAGCCAGUACUAUUUUAUUUUGACUACAACAGCUUAACAAUGUAUUUUGAAAUCAGAGAAUGUGAUACUUCCAGCUUUGCUAUUUUCACUCAAAAUAGCUUUUGUUGUUUGGAUUUUAUUUUUGCAGGUCAAUUUUAGAAAUUUUUUUCUAUUUCUACGAAAGGUGACAUUGGGAUUUUGACAAUAAUUGCACUGAAUUUGUAGAAUAUUUGGGGAGAGGGCUGAGGCUGUGGCUCAGCAGUAAAGCAAUUGCCUUGGACAUAUGACGCACUGGGUUCGAUCCUCAGCACCACCUAAAAAUAAAUAAAUAAACAAAAUAAGGUAUUGUGUUCAUCUACAACUAAAAAAAAAUUAAAAAGAGAAUAUUUGGGGAGAAUGACUUUUAACAGUAUUAUUUUUUCUAAUCUAAGAACAUGGAAUAUCAUUCAUUUUUUGUUUCUUUUUCAAUGUUUUUAUUAAUACUUUAUAGUAUACACAUCUUUACAUCCUCAAGUGUUUGGAUUUUUUUAUGCUAUAGUACAUGUAAUUAUUUUCCUAAUAUUUUGAUAUUUCAUUGUUAGUGUCUAGAAAUUUUGUUAAUUGUCAUUAUGUUGAUUUUGGAACCUGUGAUUUUACUGAAUUUUAUUUAUUUUUUAUUAAUUCUAAUAGUGCUUUAUGGAGUUGUAAAUAUAAAACUAUGUGAAUGUGAUAAAAUAGUGGUAAUAUACUUAUUAUUAGUCUACAUUAUUGAGGUUCUUGGACAUAACUGAUUGUCAGAUUUCCAUAUGCAGUAGUCUCAAAAUUCAACUUGAAUUAUCAAGUUGAAAACGAAUUAAAUUCAUUAAGAAUAUGGUUGAUUCUUAAUUUAUAUAAAAUACAGACCUAAAGUAGAACUGUCAAAUGUAGAAAAAAUAAUAAUACAAUAAAGCCUAGUGCCUAACAUAGCAUUACACUUAUUGGAUUGCUAAACAUACCUGUUUUAAAGACAAUGUCAAUAACUUGUUGUGUUGUCAGUUUCUCCAAAGAAAGAGAAACAAUAAGUUGUGUUUGUGAGAGAGACAGAGAUAAAGACACAGGUGGAACUAUUUUAAGGAUUUGGCUCUCACAAUUGUGGGGUUUGAUGAGUUCAAACUCGCUGGUAUAGCAAACAGGCUAGAGAUCCAGGAC